CUUCCACAGAUUAGUUCUAUUAGGUGAUGAAUAUUCGAAGUCUUCCAUGUAACUGAGCAAUAAUGUUAAAUGACCAAUUAAAGAACUAGAUGUGACUUCUUGGUAUGGUCUGGAGCAAAAACAAUACAUAAAAAGGUUGUCUCAAGGAAAGCACAUGAAGAAACUGUCCCUCUGAGAAACCCCUCUUGGAAAAGUUUCUCUGCUUUUCCUUGUUAUGACAAAGUGGUUUCCAGGAUCAGUUGCUCCAACACCUUUGCAGAGACUGAUGUGCAGUGGACUGAACUGUAGAUCCCUGGAUCUUCCCUCUUGCCUUUGAAAUUAUAUUUGGUUUCUAUGAAGACAGGAAUUAUGCUGGACCUGUAGGCCUUUAUGACCCAACCAAUGGAUUCUUCUGGAUUGUCAUCUUGAAUGAGUUUUAGGAACUACAUCGUGUCUCAGUGCUGCAUCUUCUGACAUACCACCAGUGCCUCAGUCCUGUCAGAGCUUCUUUCAGCUGCACGGUCAUUAGCUGUAAUCUCUUUUACUGACUCUUAUACUACUUUGCAAUGUCAUGUUUUACAUACCUCUUGCUGAAAAUACAUACAUAUAUUUUUAUAUGGAUUUGUUUAGCAGUUCUUGAAAGUUUUCACCCAUUGCUUUCUUAUUUCUUUGCUAUUAAAGAAAUCUUUCUUUACUCAUUCUAGGCUUGCCCUAAACUUGUCUGCUGGCAUCUUCUUCAAGCACUUCUUCUCAUGCUCAUUUUCACUGCCUGCUUGCUUUUAUUACCCAUAGAAUUUUCACCUCUUCUUGUCUUUCUGGAGGUAUUUUGGAAAAACUGGCUUUUCCUUUCUUUUUUCUUUAUUUCCCAUUCAGUUCUGCAUUUCUUAAUUCAGAUUUCCAGGUGGAUUGUGUUAAAACCAGAUAAUACUUUAACAGAGUUUGUGGUGUUAUCACAUGAAAAAAAAAAAGCUUAUAUAUAGAAACAAAGUCUUGUGGAGAAACAAAAUUUUAGCACCUAAAUAUCCUUCUCGAGGUUAGUUUGGAUUUUCCAUUGGUAUGUCUUGUCUGUUACUGUUCCGCUAGACUUUGAGGAUUUUUUCUUAUGUUUGAUAUUGGUUACUGUCAAUAUCUGCAGGCCUGAGCAAGUGAGGGGGCACGCAAGCAACCGUAAACUCAGCAUCUGCAACAUCACGUAAAACAUCUGACUCAGUGUCCAAAUUACAAGGGAAGCUGAUCAGCCAGUAGCAUAAUUUUGGCACAUUACUCUAUUAUUGCAGAUACCAUUUGGCAGCUGCCUCCAAUUGUGUUUACGAAAUAUGUUUCCAUUUUUGAUGCUUUCUAAGGGCUGUGUUUUAAAGGACAGUGUGUAGAAGGGACAGUGUUUAUGACUACACUUGCUGGGUUUUGCAGCUUCCUGCUCUGCCCUUCUUUUGUGUGAAAAAGGAACUAAUUUCAGCAAAAUCUAAGUAGGUAAAGGUACAAUUUCACUUCCUUAAAGCCCCAUAGCACAUGAGCGUGGCUUAGUUCAAUAUGUGUUUUCUCAACUAAAGUGCUUUAAAUUUAUAAAGCGUGAUAUUCUACUAUUCUUUUUGGGUUUGAGAAGAGACUUGUCAGCAUAUAAUUUUACAAGCUUUUCAUGUUCCACCUUUUCUCAUUUUUUUUCACAAGCUUAGAGUAAAGCAGGGCUUUUAGUGUUCCACUUUCUGCUACAGUAGCUGUUUUAACGAUAUUGCUACUUAAUUAUUUAAUAUUGUCAGUCUUUUCAUGAAUUGAUACUUUCUUGUCGUGUAUUAAAGGCAGUAUAACUC
rnacentral:lncRNA from 7 species